AGUUCACCGUCCGCUUUCGGGAAGCCAACACACGCUCUUCUCUCGAGCUCUCUUUCUCCAGUCGUAUGCGUAGCUUGCGCAACGUUCCGUAUAGUUGAUCUAAAUUCCGUUGAGUUUUUUUUUCCUUUCAAGUUCGGACAGUUGAUCAUAUUCGAUGCUCAGACGUACGUAGUAUUUUUGGAAAUCCGGUGGUGCAGUUUUUCGUAUUUCGUAAAAUUGCCACGCGUAAGCCAAUUUUCAAAAGCGAAAAACUCCAACCACUCCGCGAUCCGCUGAAAAAUGCAGCGAGCCAUGUAACGAGGAAAAAAUAGUAGAGGAAAAUUAAAAUAUAACGCGUCGCGCACAUAAACCAGGCUCGGGAGCACCUGCUCGUCGACUGUUGCAUGCAUGCGGGUGAUGGCCCGUGCGCACGUGUGUCGGCGCGAGAGCUGAAAUUUUUUCGUCGCGUUGCCGCGGGAGGGGGGCGUGUUCUCUCUCUCGCUCUCUCUCGCUCACUCGCUCUCGGUCGACCGCUAGCUCGACGUCGUCCGCCACUUCCUCUCCGACGCGCUCGGGAUCCAGCCGCGUCGGACUACGGGAUGCUGCGGAGCUCUGUACUACUGCUACUACUACUGCGAGUAUCUGGCUGACUAUAUAUGCCCUUCAGCACCAGAGCUUGCAGUAAAACCUCAUCCGCAACCCAGAAGCUUUCCUCAUAACUAACAUGUGUCCAUGUGGCGAUGAUGGUGGUGGUGUGUGCCGAUGAAGAUUCCCGAGAGUAAAGAGGACGAUCUGCUGUACAGACUGCACAGGUUUAUAUAUGGAGAGGGAUAUGCUUGCAAUGGGAUCAGUCCAAUCGAGGCGGCUAAUCAGUGUCCGUAUGGAAACGGAGCUCCAGGAAGCGAUUCAACUAAUGAGAAGAGCUUUCAGUUUUUUGCAAGUAAAGAAAGGAGUAAACAGGUGCCGUUUGAAGACGAAGAAAGCUGGAAAAAUACAUCGGAGACCAGGUUGGCGACGCGUAUUCUUGGGGAAUUAACACACAUACGCGCUGUUAUUGCUUGAGAAUACACGUAGUUUGCCUGGUCGAUCUCUGCAAUGAAAAUUACCUCGCUCGUCAACAACGUGUAUGAUUCUAUGUAAAAGUGUAUGUGCGACGAUUCAAUUUUGUAACAAGCGUACUGCGAAGCAAAUUGUAAAAUGAAAGAAUGAUACUACGAAAUUUACUGUAAUUCGAGACGCAUGCUUGCUUUAUAAAAUAACGAGAGAACGAUAUGUUUGAUCUAAAACAACAAUUUCCACUGUAUAACAGUAAUAAUAUUGUUCGAAAGCAAAAGUAAGAUGAAAAAUGAAAAAAUCCUCAAUCACAA